rnacentral:rRNA from 1 species
GUGUAGCAACCUGCCCCACAGACCGGGAGAGCCAGGGGAAACCUUGAUUAAUACCGGAUGAUCUCGUAGAACCACAUGUUUCCUCUGGCAAAAGCUCUUGCGCUCUGUGAUGCGCUCGCGGCCUAUCAGCUAGUCCAUGAGGUAAUAGCUUACCAAGCCGAAGACGGGUACCUGGUACGAGAGGACUGAUCACCCACACCGGGAUUGAGACACGGCCCAGAGUCGUAAAGGAGGCACAAGCAGGGAAUCCUGCACAAUGGGCGAAAGCCUGAUGCAGCAACGCCGCGUGAGGGAUAAAGGCUUUGGGGUUGUAAACCUCUUUCAGGAGUAAUCAAAUGGACGGUUCCUCCAGAAGAAGCCCCGGCUAACUACGUGCCAGCAGCCGCGGUAAUACGUAGGGGCAAGCGUUGUCCGGAAUUAUUGGGCGUAAAGAGCUCGUAGGCGGUUCAUCAAGUCAGGUGUGAAAUCCCGUGGCUUAACCACGGAACUGCAUCCGAUACUGGCGGGCCAAGAGUCGUGAAGAGAAGAAUGAAAUUCCGGGUGAACGGGUGGAAUGCCCGCUAAUAGGAAGGAACACCAGGAGGAAGGCAGGUUUUCGGGGCACGUUCGGCCGUUGGGGAGGGAAAGCUUGGGGACCAAUGGGAUUAGAUACCCCAGUAGUC